UAGCCGCUCGGGCUUCGCUCGGACCGAGUCCCCGCGCUGAUUUCACAGGUCUGAGGUCUUCCCAACACCUCUCCAACCCGGGUCAAGACCUCUAAGGAAAGCACAUUCUUACCUGGCUGGGAGUUGUACGCCCUGGGACACAGGAGCUAACAUCGGAAUGCAGUCCAUCCUCUUGUCUCAAGAACUGCCUAUCAUUAUGGAAAGAUUUACAACCUCAUGGCUGAAACAAUCUAGUCCCAGAGGCACCAGCUCUUUACAACCCCAGCUCCUAUAGCCUGUAAUCCAGUCCAGGGGUACCCAGAGGUACCCGCCCUCUGCCACCCCCCAGUCCGCAUGAUUUGUAACCUGUAAUGAUUGUCCCGUGCCUACUUUCUCAUGCCUGUAAUUCCUACUUUCCCAUGUAAUCUUUGUCCUUCUACCUAAUAUCAGUGGCUGGCUUAUGGGGAGAGGCAGAGCAGAUUUUUGUGGAUGACCUACUGCUCUCCCAUACUGCCAACAUUAUUGGAAUAAACACUCCUAUAUGAUUCAACCCUGUCUCCUAAUUGGCUUAAUUGGUUCAGGUAGUAACAGGCAGCCUGGACCCAUUGGUUGUCUGGUUUCAGUAGAGGAUCUCUGACCCUUUCCCAUUGCAGUAACAGAAAUUGUUUAAGUCCCGGAGAAUAUUAAAAUCUAAAGUUCCAUGCUC